rnacentral:tRNA from 1 species
GCGCCCUUAGCUCAGUUGGUAGAGCAACCGGCUCUUAACCGGUGUGUCGUAGGUUCGAGCCCUACAGGGCGUAC